rnacentral:rRNA from 1 species
GAUGAACGCUGGCGGCGUGCCUAAUACAUGCAAGUCGAGCGAACAGACGAGGAGCUUGCUCCUCUGACGUUAGCGGCGGACGGGUGAGUAACACGUGGAUAACCUACCUAUAAGACUGGGAUAACUUCGGGAAACCGGAGCUAAUACCGGAUAAUAUAUUGAACCGCAUGGUUCAAUAGUGAAAGACGGUUUUGCUGUCACUUAUAGAUGGAUCCGCGCCGCAUUAGCUAGUUGGUAAGGUAACGGCUUACCAAGGCAACGAUGCGUAGCCGACCUGAGAGGGUGAUCGGCCACACUGGAACCGAGACACGGUCCCGACUCCCACGGGAGGCAGCAGUAGGGAAUCUUCCGCAAUGGGCGAAAGCCUGACGGAGCCACGCCGCGUGAGUGAUGAAGGUCUUCGGAUCGUAAAACUCUGUUAUUAGGGAAGAACAAAUGUGUAAGUAACUAUGCACGUCUUGACGGUACCUAAUCAGAAAGCCACGGCUAACUACGUG